rnacentral:rRNA from 1 species
UACGUAGGGUGCGAGCGUUAAUCGGAAUUACUGGGCGUAAAGCGUGCGCAGGCGGUUGGCAAAGUCAGCUGUGAAAGCCCCGGGCUCAACCUGGGAAUUGCGGUUGAAACUAGUCGACUAGAAUCUGGCAGAGGGGGGUGGGAAUUCCACGUGUAGCAGUGGAAAUGCGUAGAGAAUGUGGAGGAACACCGAUGGCGAAGGCAGCCCCCUGGGCUGAGAUUGGA